CUCAAUGAAAAUUAAAUAGCCGCAAUAUUUUGUGCUAAGGUAGCAUAAUCAUUUGUUUUUUAAUUAAAAACUAGAAUGAAAGAUUCAACAAUUUUAUUUCUCUCUCACAUAUAAUAAUUCAACUUAUUUUAAUUAUAAAAAAAUAAUUAUAAAUAAAAAAGACGAUAAGACCCUAUUGAACUUAACUAAAGUUUAACUGGGGUAGUUAAUUAAAUACAAUUUUAAUUUCAAUCUAAAACUAACCUAAUAUAAUUAAAAUAAUCAAGUUACCAUAGGGAUAACAGCGUAAUAAUUUUCUCAAGACCUUAUUUAAAAAAUUGUUUACGACCUCGAUGUUGAAUUAAUAAUCUAUUAAAUGCAAUAAUUUAAAAAGAAAGUC
rnacentral:rRNA from 1 species